rnacentral:rRNA from 1 species
GUCGAGAAUCUUUUGCAAUGGGCGAAAGCCUGACAAAGCAACGCCGCGUGAGUGAUGAAGGUCUUCGGAUUGUAAAACUCUGUCGUUUGGGACGAAACAGCUUGAUGCUAAUAACAUCAGGCCUUGACGGUACCAAAGGAGGAAGCCCCGGCUAACUUCGUGCCAGCAGCCGCGGUAAUACGAAGGGGGCAAGCGUUGUUCGGAUUUAUUGGGCGUAAAGGGUGCGUAGGUGGUUGUACAAGUCGGAUGUGAAAUCCCCUGGCUUAACCAGGGAUCUGCAUUCGAAACUGUACGGCUUGAGUACAGAGGGGGUGAGUGGAAUUCUCAGUGUAGCGGUGAAAUGCGUAGAUAUUGAGAAGAACACCUGUGGCGAAAGCGGCUCACUACUCUGCUACUGACACUGAGGCACGAAGGUUAGGGGAGCAAACGGGAUUAGAAACCCCAGUAGUCC